AUUGAACGCUGGCGGCAUGCUUUACACAUGCAAGUCGAACGGUAACAGGCCUUCGGGUGCUGACGAGUGGCGCACGGGUGAGUAAUGCAUCGGAACGUGCCCAGAGGUGGGGGAUAACGCAGCGAAAGCUGUGCUAAUACCGCAUGUGAUCUGAGGAUGAAAGCGGGGGACCAAGCAGCAAUGUUUGGCCUCGCGCCUCUGGAGCGGCCGAUGUCAGAUUAGGUAGUUGGUGGGGUAAAGGCCUACCAAGCCGACGAUCUGUAGCUGGUCUGAGAGGACGACCAGCCACACUGGGACUGAGACACGGCCCAGACUCCUACGGGAGGCAGCAGCGGGGAAUUUUGGACAAUGGGCGCAAGCCUGAUCCAGCAAUGCCGCGUGCGGGAAGAAGGCCUUCGGGUUGUAAACCGCUUUUGUACGGAACGAAAAGGCUCUGGCUAAUACCUGGGGCUGAUGACGGUACCGUAAGAAUAAGCACCGGCUAACUACGUG
rnacentral:rRNA from 1 species